UCAAGCGAACAAGGGCGCAGGGCGAAUGCCUUGGCACUGGGAGCCGAUGAAAGACGUGAUAAGCUGCGAUAAGCUUCGGGGAGCUGCAAAUAAGCAUUGAUCCGGAGAUUUCUGAAUGAGGAAACUCACCUGGGUUCAUACUCAGGUACGUUAUACUGAACUUCAAAAUAGGUAUAUCGAGGGAACCGCCUGAACUGAAACAUCUAAGUAGGGCGAGGAAGAGACAUCAAACGAGAUUCCGUAAGUAGUGGCGAGCGAACGCGGAAGAGGGCAAACCGAGAGUAGAAAUACUUUCGGGGUACGGACUGCUUUUAGGACUUAAUCUGUUAACCGAACGGCAUGGGAAGGCCGGUCAGAGAGUGUGAGAACCACGUAGGUGAAAACGGAGAGAGCUGCGCAGGAUCCAGAGUACGGCCAGACACGUGAAACCUGGUCGGAAUACGGGGGGACCACCCUCCAACCCUAAAUACUACCCAGUGACCGAUAGCGUAUAGUACUGUGAAGGAAAGGUGAAAAGCACCCCGGGAGGGGAGUGAAAAAGAACCUGAAACCCUGUGCCUACAAGCACCUAGAGCACGUCAAAGUGUGAUAGGGUACUUUUUGUAGAACGGUCCGGCGAGCGAUUGUAUGCAGCAAGGUUAAGGACUUAAGGUCUGGAGCCGAAGCGAAAGCGAGUUUGAAAAGGGCGUUAAGUUGCAUAUAAUGGGCCCGAAACCGGGUGACCUACCCAUGGUCAGGUUGAAGUGGAAGUAAAAUUCCAUGGAGGACCGAACCGACCUCCGUUGAAAAGGCGGCGGAUGAACUGUGGGUAGCGGAGAAAUUCCAAUCGAACCCGGAGAUAGCUGGUUCUCCCCGAAAUAGUUUUAGGACUAGCCUCAAGUUAGAUACCUGGAGGUAAAGCACUGAAUAGCCUAGCGGCCGAGAGGUUAGCGAAGCUUAUCAAACUCAGAAUGCCAGAGUAUUGAUGCUUGGGAGUCAGACAGUGUCAGAUAAAUGUCAUUGUCAAAAGGGAAACAGCCCAGAUCUACAGCUAAGGUCCCAAAUUGUAUCUAAGUGGAAAACGAUGUGGAAAUACGCAGACAACCAGGAUGUUGGCUCAGAAGCAGCCACUCAUUCAAAGAGUGCGUAAUAGCUCACUGGUCGAGCGUCUUUGCGCGGAGAAUUUAACGGGGCUAAACCUGACACCGAAGCUUAGGCAAUCCAGCAAUGGAUUGGGUAGGGGAGCGUUGUAUACGCGGAGAAACAGUAGCGUAAGCGGCUGUGGAGUGUAUAGAAGUGAGAAUGCCGGAAUGAGUAGCGCGAAUGCAGUGAGAAUCUGCAUGGCCGAAAGCCUCAGGUUUUUGGAGGAAGGUUCGUCCGCUCCAAGUUAGUCGGGAGCUAAGGUGAGGCCGAAAGGCGUAGCCGAUGCACAGACGGUAGAGAUUCCGUCACCACCAAAAGAGUUAAGCACAGGGACACAUUUGAAGUCUCAGAGCCGGGUGUUGGUUCCGGUAGAGAUCGAGGGAAGUUAGUACCGAAGUCUGGGAUGGAAGAUGGCGAGAAAAGCUGUGUGUAUUUCUGAGGUGCCCGUACCGCAAACCGACACAGGUAGGUAGGAAGAAGAUUCUAAGGCCAACGGGAGAAGGGUUGUUAAGGAACUCGGCAAAUUGACCCCGUAACUUCGGGAGAAGGGGUGCUCCAGAGAUGGAGCCGCAGAGAAUCGGCCCAAGCAACUGUUUACCAAAAACACAGGUUUGUGCUAAAUCGAAAGAUGACGUAUACGAGCUGACGCCUGCCCGGUGCUGGAAGGUUAAGAGGAGAUGUGCAAGCAUUGAAUCGAAGCCCCAGUGAACGGCGGCCGUAACUAUAACGGUCCUAAGGUAGCGAAAUUCCUUGUCAGGUAAG
rnacentral:rRNA from 1 species